UUGCACCCUUGGCGAUUUCUCUACCACCCAGAGCAAUAACCCAGAAAAUGGCUUACCUGGGGGGCAUUUACCCCCAGCCCCAUCGUGCGCUACAGUGUUUACAAAAUAAAUAUAUAAAUAUGCUCUCUGAGCCACCUCUCUGCUCUAAAAGUCCCUGUGCCUCUGAGCUGCCGGGCGGAGUCCCGCAGACGUCAGCGUCUAACCCCAGGCGAGAACUCACCACCCCUGGAGCCGGGUUCAGCUCAGGAAGGAGUGCUGGCUAUUGGAUGGACAGUCAGCCCCUAUGCUGAACCCAGAACAGUUUCAGUGGUGGCCUGAUUGCAAUUCAUUGCCUUUCACUGGGCCCAGCUCGCCAACUUUCCAAGAAGAAUGAUGGCACGGAUGGCUUGAGAAGUAUCUGGAGAAUGCUAGAGAGAAGUUCGAGGAUCUAAAAUUGUUCUGUAGGUAUUUAUCAAGAACAAAACGUGUACCCGAACUCUGUGAGGCCAUAAAGAUGAAGGGAUUGGUCAGCUGAACCUCUACCCUUAAGACCCAUGCAGGCUGGUGAAAGAAACAGGUGCCUACAUUCUAAGUUAAAAUGAAUUUUUGGAUGCAAAAAGGUUAUCGAACUACAUAAAGAAUUAUCUCUUAAGCAAUAGCUUCAUGAAAAAUGUAGAGUAAUAAUAAUGGAGUUGGAAUUCAUUAAUUACAUCUAAAGUCUAUAGCUGGAUCCAGAGCUGUUUCCGGAUUGAAGGAAUUUCCAGAACCUUUUGAUACUGGGUCUGCGGAUGACAAAAUUUGGGCAUUCUAUUAGGCACUUGAGGAGCCUACCCUCUUCUUUCACCUAAAUAAAAGAAAUUCCAACCUGUCCAAAGAUGCACCUUGUGGGGACCCUGCGGUCAAGACCAAGACUUUCUCAAGAAGUCAUCUUGGUUUUGCUCAAAUGCUCUGAGGGGUGCUUGAGUGGAUUGUACAGGUGGACAGGGGUGGCUGGCUGACUGACCACAGCGAGCCAUGCCAUCGGAGUUAAGGAAGAGAGAUACCAUCCCUUUCUGAUGGUAGAGAGUUUCUUAGAAAGUAAACAAUUGCAGACAAUCUUCACAACAGCUCUCUUAUCCCCCUGAUCUCAUUACUCCUUGUUAGCACAAACCAUUUAGGACAGUUAUAGUGAAAGUCCUGAUAAGGAGGAAGUGAUCACUUUCAAACUAAUCUAGCAUAUCUGUCAUGACAUGGUGAUAAACAAGGACCGUCUAACUAUUAAGUAAUCAAUGACAUUGAUUUGGAAUUAGAGAUAUAGUAUUAGUUCCUCCUUGACUAUCUCUCCCACCAGCCACCACACACACACACACACACACACACACACACGUGCAUGUGCACACACACACACACACACACACACAAAGACAUUAACUAAAUUGAGUCUGGUUUUUUUUUUCUUUCUUUUUUUUCCCCCUGUACCGAUUGCAUCCAGUAUUUCUCUUUAUCAGAGAAUUUACCACAUGAUGUUGAAAUUAACUGUCCAUGUGUCAUCUUCUUCACUAAACUAUAACCCCUCAAAGAUAGGAUCAACAUAUUGUCCCUCAGGGGCGCUGUUAAGUGGUUGUCUCUUGAUUUCAGCUCAGGUCAUGAUCUCAGGGUCCUGGGAUUGAGCCCCAUGUCGGACUCUGCACUCAGCAGGGAGUUGGCUGGAGAUUCUCUCUCCCUCUCCCUCUGCCCCUGCCCCUGCUCUCACACACUCUCUGUUUCUGUCAAAUAAGUAAAUAAAUCUAAAGAAACAAACAUAUUAUCCCCUGAAAACCCUACUGACCAGCACAAAAAUUUCUUCACAAAUGGGGUGAGUAUAGCAAGUCUAGACUAGUUUCAUGGAUACGCAAUCAUGCCAUACUCACAGAUGAGUCUGACUAGGUGUUUCCUUCUUUAAUAUAACCUAUUCUUUUUAGAUGAGUGGCCCAUAAGAAACCUACAUGCGUCUUUUCAGGAGGAAUAUAACUUUGAAACAUAAUUAGAAUAAUACAAACCUACAACAACCCAGGUCAGGCUCUUUUGUGAAUUCUCUCAAACCUGAGAAAAUCUGAAUAAUGAUUACAUGCCAGAAAUGAACAAAUAAAUAAUUUUUUUUACUAUCACCUGAGUUUAGGGUCCCCAAUCCACUCUGAGUUCAACCAAAAUUCCUUGCUUUAUGCCUGGAAAAGGAAGAGAUUCACACUCCAUGUAAAAGGGAAUUCACUUUCUAAAAUCUUUAUUCCUCACAUGCCAAUAAUAUGAAUUUCUCCAAAAAUGACUAAGAAAUUGGACUCUUUACUCCUUGAUUUGCAUCCUAACAUUCCUCCCCCAAACGGUUUUUAGACAUUGGAAUACUAUAUUCUAGAACAGCACUCUCCAACAGAAAAAUAAUGUAAGCCAUAUUUGUAAUUUUAAAUUCUCUAGUAACCUAAUUAAAAAAUAAAAAGAGAUGGGUGAACUUUAUGAUAAUAAUGUAUUUUCUUUAACUCAGUAUCUCCAAAAUACUAUCACUUUAACAUGUAAUCAGUAUAAAAUUAUUCAGGAGAUAUUUUGCAUUUUUUUCCUUUGUACUAGUUGUUUGAAAUUCAUUAUGUAUUUUAUACUUAUAGCACACUCAAUUUGGACCAGUUACACUUCAGGGCUCAAUGACGCAUGCGGUGGGGAGCUACUGUAUUGAACAACAAAUCUAUGAAGCCCCUCACAUCAGAAAAAGCUAUCUGUGUUCUCCUGGCAUAUAUGGUUUUGUUGAGAAGAUAUUAGCACCAGAAUUGAUGGGUCUUAUAGUGCUGAGUGGAGAUAUAAUAUUUGAUAAGUAAUAGUUACCAAGUUCUUAACAUGUUCUAAGCUUUCUUGUAGGCACUGGCAAUAUAGUGGUGAGCAAAAGAGUCAAAAUGUCCUUCCUCCCAGAGCUAACACUCUGGUAGUGGGAGACAGACAAUAAUCUAGGCAAACACUUAAACUUAUUUUAAUGUCAACAGAUAAUAGGGGAAAAAAUUAAAGUUGGAUGAAGAGGAUACAAAACGUUGAGGUAGGAAUUUAGGUUUUACAGCUAGUUGCCAGGGAAGAUCUCAUGGAGUGGGUCAUGCUUUGUUAAAGACUUUCACGUUGGCAAUAUUCCAAGAAAAUUAUGGUCUUGGAUAACUUUUAUUUUUAUUUUGGUAAAAAGAUCAAUGAUGAAAGGUACAAAUUAUGUGA